AUGACAAAGCUGAAAGAGCCCAUUGUAACACACCCACUUGGGCUUUGGGAGUUGCAGACACCCACCCCUAGACACUACUGGUGGCGAAGGUGGAGCCCAAAGCACUUGCCCCAGCUCCUGCAUCUGGCCCGUUUGUGUGCUCCCACUCCCGUAAAAGAUUUGAGCUCCCAGCAGCUGAACAGAGUGCAACACCCCUGUCACAUGUCCUGCAAGAAGCAGGGGCCAGGGAACUCUCCCACCUCAAAGCUGUCUUCUUGGGGUCCGUGGAACUGAAUCUUUGAUGAAGUGUAGAAAAGAGAUGAAGACUGUGUCAGAGGAAAUAAUUUAUCAAAAGUAAUUGUAAGAGUUUGUCAGUACUGGCAAGAGAAAGUUCUGUAUUAUCUAGUUUCAGUCUGAAUGACUUUCAGCCUUAAGACCUCCAACAGCAAGGCAAAAGAAUUGAGGAACCUGAAGUUACUCCCACCGCCCACCCACCUACUCCACUGCAUGGAGAGAGAAAAAUGAGAUGAAGCUGAUUGGGAGCUGGGAGGCUGCAGGGGGCCAUGUGGCAAGGAAGAACAGGGAGGAAUAUCAGAAACAAAGGUGACGUUCUUGUCAUCCUAGGAGGAGAUAUGUACGUGCUGAUGGACUCUAGCUUUUGACUUUAACUUUUAUUUCAAGUUCAGGGAUACAUGUGAAGCUUUGUUAUAUAGGUAAAUUCAUGUCCUGUGGGUUUGUUGAACAGAUUAUUUCAUUACUGAGGUAUUAAGCCUAGUACCCAUUAGUUAUUUUUCCUGAUGCUCUCCCACCUCUCAUCCUCCAUCCUCCAAUAGGUCCCAGUUUCUGUUUUUCUGCUCUAUGUAUGUGUUCUCAUUGUUUAGCUCCCACUUAUAGGUGAGAACAUGUAGUUUCGAUUUUCUGUUGCUGUGUUAGUUUGCUAAGAAUAAUCACCUCCAGCUCCAUCUAUGUUCCUGCAAAGGACAUGAUCUCAGUUUUUCUUAAUGGCUGCCUAGUAUUCCAUGGUGUAUAUGAACCAUAUUUUCUUUGUCCAGUCUACCACUGUGAGCAUUUAGGUUGAUUCCUUGUUUUUACUGUUUUGAAUAGUGCUGCAAUAAACAUACACAUGCAUGUGUCUUUAUGACUGAAAGAUUUAUAUUCCUUUGGGUAUAUAUAUCCAGUAGUGGGAUUGCUAAGUCAAAUGGUAUUUCAGUUUUUAGGUCAUCGAGGAAUCGUCACACUGUCUUCCACAAUAGUUAAACUAAUUGACCAUCCAACCAACCAUAUGUGUUGCUUUUUCUCUGCAACCUCACCAGCAUCUCCUGUUUUGUGACU
rnacentral:lncRNA from 1 species